UACGGGGGGGGCAAGCGUUGUUCGGAAUUACUGGGCGUAAAGGGCUCGUAGGCGGCCAACUAAGUCGGAUGUGAAAUCCCCAGGCUUAACCUGGGAACUGCAUCCGAUACUGGAUGGCUUGAGUUUGGGAGAGGGAUGCGGAAUUCCAGGUGUAGCGGUGAAAUGCGUAGAUAUCUGGAGGAACACCGGUGGCGAAGGCGGCAUCCUGGACCAACACUGACGCUGAGUGAGCGAAAGCCAGGGGAGCAAACGGG
rnacentral:rRNA from 1 species